UCCCAGCUGACGCUUAAUCCUGUGUCUGGCCUCCCUCUGUGGAUUUCCCUUUGGUUUUGAGAAGGGACUAAGCGUUUCUGGUUCAGUAUUCCUAGUCCCAGUGAUAACAGGGGCUGUGAAUUAUGGACGCAGGAGCAAAUGUUUUUAAUCUUCCAUGAAACAAAACCAGGGUGUUUUCUGCACCAGGGGCCAAGGCCGGGGGAGGAAGCGGACAGCUGCUCCGAUACGGUGAACGCCGGCUGACGUCACCGGGAGCCGGUCCGGGCCAAGGACUCCACUCAGGAAGCGUAAAAGUGAUACCGAAAACGAAUUUGCAUUUUUUCCUUUCACGGGGAGCUCGGCGACUCUCGGCUGACAUGUUUUCCCCGGCCCUGGCAGCUGGCGUGUGGGACAAGCCUGGCCGGCCGUGUGCUGGGGAGGCAACUCCAGCUUUGGUUUCCUGCUGCCCCUUUAAGCGUGUGUUCUGCGGGGCUCAUGUUCCCUGGCCCGGGAUGAAAGGCCCUGGCAGGAGCUGGCUUCUCUGCUCCUCUUAGGAAACAGUCUGUCCUGAGGUCACUUCCAAUGGAAAACAGUCUCAAAUUUGGAAUUUGAAUGUGCAGGCCAAGGUAUUAGUCAAAACUCUCAACUUGGACAUCUGAUUCUCCCCCCGCGUCCAGCUCAGCUUGCCUGGGGCUGGAAGCCUGCGUGGGAAAGGGGGCUUCUGUGCUGGACCCCUGUGCUCACACUGGCUCCCCUACCCCCAAGGAGGAUGCUGAGGUGCUCGGGGAGGGGAAGGCCAGGCUCAUCUGGAUAAUACAGGCUAACCUCCGCCUCCCAAGAUCUUGAACGUAAUCACGCCGACAGAGGCUCUUUCUGAAUGAGGUCACAUUUAGUUUCCAGGGACUGGACCUGGCAUCUGUGGGGCAUUUAUUCAGCCCACCCUCCCGCCCUGGGCUUCCUGGCUGGGAACAGGCCCCAGCCCUUCCUGCCCUCAGCUGGAGGGAGUCACGUGGUAAGCUCUCCAAGUAGCUUGGUGGAAACCCCAAAAUGUUUGUGGGGCAGGCAACCCCCCACCUGCCCUUCAGGAAGCACAGCAUUCUCCAAAGACACUUCUCUCUGAAAGCCCUCUUCUCAAAAUCCUGUCUCUCAACCAGCCGACUUGUUACAUCCUCCAGGGGGGCGGGGGUGCUCAGGGUUGCAGACGUUGACCUUCUCCUGUGAGCCCUUCUCCUUGCUUUGGAAUCACAGCACAAGUAGCUUGGCCCCCCGUGUCACACUUCACAUGCUGUUACCUUUGUGAUGGUGUGAUUCAAGGUCCCGCCUGCACAAGCUGCCCACAGAGGGGCCAUGGGGCCUGGGAUCUAGCCCAGCUCUGCCUGACAAGUUUGGCAUGGAUGCCUCGAUCCAUGGGGAGCAUGGUCCCUGCCACCCCGAGUCCACCUCAACUGGCUCUCACAACGUCCAAGGACUUGCCAGUGGGAGGUGCAGAGAGGCCGGGGGCUGCAACGUGACCGUGGAACUCCGGUGACAAAUGACACAGGCCACUUCCAUCCUCGGGUUUCCAACUUGCAACUGCUGUGCAGAUCUAGAAGUUUCCUGUCCCACGGGUGAGCAGACCGUCACUGGAUUAGGGUUUAAUGUGUGUGUGUGCACUCAGCUGAGAUGGACAAGCUGGCCUGGAAAGAAAACCUGUUCCCCAGCUCUCGGAACAUGGAUCCAGCUUUUAGGGAAGAAGAUGAUACAGAUUUGUUUGGAAGGUUCUGGAAGGCUCAGAGCUGCCUGGGAAACCAGCAGUUUCUAGAAGCAGCAGCUGACAGAUUCCACUCAAGAGAUAGUUCAAAAUGGCAACGGCAUCAAGGGCCGAGCUUGCUCAGGGAUCUGUCCCCUGCCUCGACUGUUUUUUUUUUUAACUGAACAUUUCUUUUCCCCACUUCUCUACUCUUACCGUUGCAAAACCCCCACCCAUGAUGCUGGAAAAUUUAAGCCGUCUCAUCUUCUCUCUGACUCACCUUGUUCUUGGUUCUCAGGGGCUCGGAGGAGGGUCCAUGCUGAGUGGGCCCGUCUCUCUGAUUUGAAUUAUCCUGGGGCAACACUAGGAAGACGGGGAGACAGCCUUUCUCCAGGGGGACCAGCCUGGAACCCGUUACCUCCUGGUGCCUCAGUCUGCUUGGACAGUCAGAACCAAGGGCCACGGGCUGGCGGGGCUUCGACAGCAGAAUUCAGUUUCCUCACCACUCUGGAGGCUGGAAGUCUGAGAUCAAGGGGUCGGCAGGGCCGGCUCCUUCUGAGGCCUCUCUCCUUGGCCUGCAGACGGCUGUCUUCUCCCUGAGUCCUCACAC